rnacentral:rRNA from 1 species
AUUGAACGCUGGCGGCAUGCCUUACACAUGCAAGUCGAACGGUAACAGGUUAAGCUGACGAGUGGCGAACGGGUGAGUAAUAUAUCGGAACGUGCCCAGUCGUGGGGGAUAACGUAGCGAAAGCUACGCUAAUACCGCAUACGAUCUACGGAUGAAAGCGGGGGAUCGCAAGACCUCGCGCGAUUGGAGCGGCCGAUAUCAGAUUAGGUUGUCGGUGAGGUAAAAGCUCACCAAGCCUGCGAUCUGUAGCUGGUCUGAGAGGACGACCAGCCACACUGGAACUGAGACACGGUCCAGACUCCUACGGGAGGCAGCAGUGGGGAAUUUUGGACAAUGGACGCAAGUCUGAUCCAGCAAUGCCGCGUGCAGGACGAAGGCCUUCGGGUUGUAAACUGCUUUUGUACGGAACGAAACGGUGAGCCCUAAUACAGUUUGCUAAUGACGGUACCGUAAGAAUAAGCACCGGCUAACUACGUGCCAGCAGCCGCCGUAA